UACGAAGGGGGCUAGCGUUGCUCGGAAUCACUGGGCGUAAAGGGUGCGUAGGCGGGGCUUUAAGUCAGGGGUGAAAUCCUGGAGCUCAACUCCAGAACUGCCUUUGAUACUGAAGAUCUUGAGUGCGGGAGAGGUGAGUGGAACUGCGAGUGUAGAGGUGAAAUUCGUAGAUAUUCGGAAGAACACCAGUGGCGAAGGCGACUUACUGGACACAUAUUGACGCUGAGGUGCGAAAGCGUGGGGAGCAAACAGG
rnacentral:rRNA from 1 species